rnacentral:rRNA from 1 species
ACAAGCGGUGGAUGAUGUGGUUUAAUUCGAUGCAACGCGAAAACCUUACCACCUUGACAUGUACGGAAUCCUUUAGAGAUAGAGGAGUGCUCGAAAGAGAGCCGUAACACAGGUGCUGCAUGGCUGUCGUCAGCUCGUGUCGUGAGAUGUUGGGUUAAGUCCCGCAACGAGCGCAACCCUUGUCAUUAGUUGCUACAUUCAGUUGGGCACUCUAAUGAGACUGCCGGUGACAAACCGGAGGAAGGUGGGGAUGACGUCAAGUCCUCAUGGCCCUUAUAGGUGGGGCUACACACGUCAUACAAUGGAUGGUACAAAGGGUCGCCAACCCGCGAGGGGGAGCCAAUCCCAUAAAGCCAUUCGUAGUCCGGAUCGCAGUCUGCAACUCGACUGCGUGAAGUCGGAAUCGCUAGUAAUCGUGGAUCAGAAUGUCACGGUGAAUACGUUCCCGGGCCUU